rnacentral:lncRNA from 1 species
UAGGGAAAAUAAUAGAAUAAACCCCACCAGUUUUUACUACUCUAGACCUAAGAGCUAGGAGAGGAGUGGUUACUAGAACUCAGAGGAAGAACCCUAUGGAAAGGCUGUCUCAUGGGUGUCGUGGACUUGUCAAGGGAAGUAGCUAACUUAUAGUAGCUAAUCUGCAGACAUGGAAUGAGUACCUAGUCUCUCUCUCUCUCUUCCCACCUUGAGCACUCUUCCUUGGUACCUCUCCUGGACCAAAUCUAAUGGAAGACCAAGGACAGAAAGUCUCCUCAAUACCAUCCAUAUGGGUCAGGUCCCAGAGGCCAGAGCAGUAUGCAGGAAAGAAGAGUAAUGAGAAAACAUCUAACACAUGGCAUAAGCUUGCAAAUUCAGUUAUAGACAUAUUAGCAACCAGCCAGAACAAAAUGAGAAACAUAAUUAGUUCCCCAAAUCAGAGCAUUUAUCACUGAUAGUAUGUCAGUGGUUUGUGAAAAAGCCUGAGAUAAAAAUCUCCCAUGGGAACACCAAGGAGUGACUUUCACAGAGUUCAUUCCUGUAGCAUGCCUGGAGGUACACUGAGGGCUCAGUAUACAGAGAAGUUAAGAAAUAAUUCCAUGAGGUUACAAUAAUGUGUUCUAAACCUGCAAAGCCUGAUGAUGUACGGGUAAAUUUUAAAGAACUUGGAGGAAAUGUCAAACUGGUUUAUCUUUAAUGUAAUUCUCCAGGAAUAUUAGCCACUUUCUUUUUAACAAAGAUUUUGAUGAAAGUUGAACAAUGGACAAUUAAUAUUCCAGGCAAAACCAAAGAUUACAUAUGGAUGAUAAAGCUGCAGGCUUCAUUAAUCAAAUGAAUGGAAGAUAGGGCCAGUUCCUUUUGUGAAAUGUAAGGUGCCUCACCCAGAUGUGCCCCCCUCUACCCCAUCUACACAGUCAAGCUGAUACCUGGCCUUCUGAAAAGAUUCAUUAAACAUUUGUUUUAAAAAGCAGAUACUGAAGCAUGCGAGAAUGGGGCAUGCUUCCAGUUUGCGCUUUCUUCGUCUUUGCUACCAAGUAGACCCUGUUUUCUUUCCCCUCAACUAUGUAGGUGAAAAGUCCCACAAUCUGCCAUCUGCAGACUGGAGAAACUCCCAUGCCUAAGGGCAGGAGAAGAUGAAGGUCCUAGCUCAAGAAGAGAGAGAAUUUGCCCUUCUUUUGCCUUUUCAUUCUAUCCUGGUCCUUGACUGAUUGGAGGAUGUCUGCCUGCAUUGGUGAGGGUAGAUCAUCUUUAUUCAGUUUCCUCAUUCAAAUGCUAACCUCUACUGGAAAAACCCAGAAAUAAUGUUUUGCCAGCUCUCUGGGAAUCCCUUAGCCCGGUCAAGUUGAUACAUAAAAUUAACCAUAACAUUGUUCAAGUUAUGCAAGAUUUAAAGAUCUGGCUUCCGAGAGCUCUCUUUUUAACCAUACAAAAUUCUAACACUCUAAUUUAACAUUAGACAGGGAAAGUAGGUGGAAAGUCAUCUUGUGAAAGGAGGAACUUGAUGGAACCAAUAAUUGUUGCCCAAGCAACACUUCUGGGUCAACACUUUUCAACCUGGGGUUUUAUAGGAUGUCUUGUUCUUUAAGAUGCACCAGGAAAAGAAGGAUUCCAAGGAAAAUGAAUUUGGAAAACACUGCAUAGUAAUAUCCUACUUUGUCAGAGUCAUGGUAAACAUAUUAUAAGCCCUGAAAAAAUAUUCAUCAAAGAAACUUUAUUACCCAGAUUCUACUAAAUUUAUUCCAUCAAUAAAUUCAUUCAUUGCUUCAUUAUUUCCAUGGUCAUCAAUGACCUCUGUAUCACUACAUCCAAAGGACUUCUUAGCUGCUCUAGACACAACAGAAUUUGCCUUCUUUUUGAAAGGUGCUCUUCAUAUGGAAUGUAAUUCUCUUGGUUUCCUUCCUUCAAUAUGUUUCUCAUUAUUCUUCCACCAGUUCAUUGACCACUUGCCAGUCAACAAUUGUUGGAGUCCUCAGCUCUCAACCCUAAGCCAUUUCCUCUUCUUGUUUGAGGGUCUCUUCCUGGGUUAUUGCACCCACAUGUCAUUGCUUUAAUUCCAGUUGUUUGCAGAUGAUACCCAGAUUUAUAUCAAUAUUCCAGACUUCAUCUCAGUUCAGGAAUCAUUUUUCCAACUACCUACUUGAAAUCAUAUCUGCAGUGUUCCAAAGCACUGAAAUAUAGCAUGUCCAAAAUAGCUAGUUAUUAUCCUCCCAAACCUUGUCCUUGCCCUAUAGCCUGCUUUCACGUGAGGGAUAUAACCAUGCAUUUGUUCAGCAAAACCAGGACCUCAUUUUGUGACUCCUUUUCCCUUACCACACAUAUUCAUCAUUAUCAAAUCCUGUUGAUGUAGCUAAAUGUCUCUCAUAUCUUUUUUCCCCUAUUUCAACAACUACAAGCCUAGUCCAUGUCACCAUAAUCUUUUCCUUAGACUUUUUGCGGUAAUGUUAGGUUGGUGAUAUGUACUUCUACUCUGCAUCAGAUAGGGUCACCUAAUUUAUACUUCACCAUAGAGACAAUAUGUCCAAAUGAGUGAUAUUUUUUAAAAAUGCUAAUAUAAUCUUCUUCCUUUUCUACCUAAAGCAUUAUCAAUGGCUUCUCAUUUAACUUACAAUAGAGAAAAACUUCUUAAGAUGAUCUUGAGUUACUUCCAUGCAUAGCCCUCAUCUAUUUCUCCAUCUUUAUCCAGCAUUUCUGUUUUCAUCAAUGUCUCCACUUAGAAGACAUGGACAUUUUGCAGUUAUUGCACCUGUUUGUUUCAUGUCUAGGAUAUUGGCACAAGCUGUCUUUUCUACCCAGAAUGUGUUUUUCUUACUCUUCUACUUAGUAACCACUCAUUCUUCAGAUUUUAUCAGAGCAUCACUUCUUCAGAGAUGUUUACUUCAAUUCCCAGAUGAGACCAAAUGCCCCUAUUAUAGAAUUAUAUGAAACUACAUAUCUAUCCUUUAUAGUAUUUGCCUUUUUUUUUUUUUUUGCAGAAUUAUUGGCGCAGAAUCUCCCUACUAGACUGAAAGCUACAUGAGGGUGAGCAAUGUCUUUUCUGUUUACUAGCGUCUCUCUGGCACCUAACACAGUGCCCCAAACCAAAUAGGUAUUCUAGGAGCCAGCAGUGUGCUAGGUGUUAUAGAUAGAUCACUAAAGAAACUUCAUCUCUUAUGUUAUCUCUCAUGGAGUGCUUAGUCUAAUUGUAAGAGAAAGGUAAUCAAUAAGUAAGUGUGAUGCAAUGUAUGGUAGGGGUUAAAACAGGAAAGGUACAAGGAGAACCAAGAUUUGGAGGGUUAAGGAAGUUUCCCAGAAACAAAAGACCUAAAUAAUAGUGAUCACUUUGUAGGUGCUUUAUGUAUAGUGAUUCUCACUGAUCUUUAGUUAAGAGGGAGGUAAACAGGAAACUAGCAGCAAGGAAGGUAUAUGACUUGCCAAGUUUGCUCAGCUAAUUAGAUGAGGAGCUGGAUUCAAACCUAGACAGUCUGGCUCCCACUUCUGUGUUCAUAACUGCACAUUGCACUGAGACUUUGAGUUGCCUAGGCAAAGGAGAAUCCAGAGCCAGGCAGGAUUCCAAACAAAGGGUAAAGCAAAAACAAUGGCUCUGAGCAAAAAAAGGAUUUUACGCUUUUAAGAAACUGAUUGAUCAGAUUGCAUUUUUAGGAAGAAAAAAUAAACAUUCCCCUCCCUGCCCCAGACACUAGUGAAAAUAUGGAGACUAGACUGGGGCAAAGCAAUCCAAAAUUAGGUUACUCUUUUCCCACAGCCACCCAUUAAAAUCCUUUGGACCUAAGUUCCUUGGAAGGCUUAAGUGAAUACUGCUCUACACAAACCAGAGACAGGAUUAAGGCUUGCUUUCUAUAUGGGUCAUCACUCCUUUUCAAGACCACAGACAGAAGACUACAGUGAAUUAAACAUUUUACCAAUACACAUAUUUUGGUCACAAAAAUGGCCCAGAAAGAAAAUCUGACUUGCUUCAGAACAAAUCCAUUUCCAGAAAGGUUAUGCAACCUCAGUGUUUUAAAACUUGAAAGAAAUUUUAUCUUAUCAAGUACAUGUGGAACAAUGAGGAAAAAAUAAAAGGACAAUUACUACUAACUACUUCCCCUAAAAAAAUUCAAAGAGGAGAUAGUAAAAAACAAAAACAAAAAAACAGUGAGCUGUUUUUUCAUCCUCACAUCUUUGAAGGACUGAGCAGGGAUGGAGGGUGGCAAUGCUAGAUCAGGAAUUUUUGCACAUACUACCCACAGGGAAAUCUAAAUCUAUAUCCAUCAUCAUAAAAUAAAACAAGAAGCAAAUCAGAAAGGAAUGAAUGAAGGGCAAGUGAUAGCCAAGGGGUUUACAAUAAUCAAUUAUUAAAAUGCCUUAAAAGAGCAAAGAAAAUGCUUAUCAGAUCAGCAAAGCACCUUUUAAUAAAUAAUAUGAUUUGGUUUUAAUUAGUGGCCUAAUUACAGUUUUACCCAAUAGGCUUAAAUGCUCCAAAGGAACAGUUUGAGUCUCUUUGGUAGAUAAUCUGUGUUUUAAAAAAUGUUCUAAUUACAUAUUUGCUUGAGUAAAUAAUGUGAAUUUUACAAAACUGCUUAAUGAUAUAUUUAUGUGACUGUAUUUACCCAAAUGGCCUCUCAUUCUGUACUAAUGGAGCUGGGAUUACUGUGCCUGGGAGAUGUGGGAAAGUGGGAUGGCUCUAGCUUUCACCCUAACACCCUGUUAUUCUCACACUGUUCUCGUUUUCUCUCACCCCAAAACACAUAACUGAAAGCAUGUGACCCACUUAUUCAUCAUCGAUUUAAACAGGAAAGAAAAUUCUUCCUCAGCCUUUUGUGUAGACACAUUUUGCAGAAAUCAUAUAGACUUGGAAAAUGAGUAUUAAUGCUAUAUGAUGCUCCAUUAAAAGUGGAUAAUGAGACUGUGACCAAGGCGGGCCAUUCAAGGUUUAAGAAGCUGCAUAAUUUAUUCUGUUCUUUAUGUAAUAUCUUACAAGGCAUUACAUAAUUCGGACUCUAUGUACUUGAAUCAGAUUGAUAUGACUAGAAGCCAUGUAAUGAUCUAUAUUAAGUAAUAGAAGUUAUAUAGAGGAGUUCCUGUCAUGGCUCAGUGGAAAAGAAUCUGGCUAGUAUCCAUGAGGAUUCAGGUUCAAUCCUUGGCCUUGCUCAGUGGGUUAAGGAUCCAGCAUUGACAUGAGCUGUGGUGUAGGUUGCAGACACGGCUCAGAUCUGGUAUUGCUGUGGCUGUGGUAUAAGCCAGCAGCUGUAGCUCCAAUUUGACCCCUAGCCUGGGAACCUCCAUAUGCCGGGGU